rnacentral:tRNA from 2 species
GCGCCCGUAGCUCAGCUGGAUAGAGUAUCGGUUUCCGAAGCCGAGGGUCACAGGUUCAAGUCCUGUCGGGCGCGCCA